rnacentral:lncRNA from 1 species
CGGGGCUCACGCCCACAGCGUUGUGGACCAGCUGCAGGGGCCUGAGCUGCCUUAUUUGGUAGCAGAGCCGGCCGUGAUGCUCGGCUCCGAGGUGCUUCCUGAAGUCUGCCUGGGGUCUGCGGUUCCUCACUGCUUCCCGAUAUUUCCUCCUUUCAUCUUACACUGGAAGCAAGAAGAGCUUUGGUUAUCUUUACAACUUCAAGCAAAUAAUCUGUCAUGCGGUAUAUUAUAUAAAUUUCAAAAACAAGCAAUGUAGCCAC